rnacentral:piRNA from 2 species
GACCUCUGGAAGAGCAGUCGGUG